rnacentral:rRNA from 1 species
GAUGAACGCUGGCGGCGUGCCUAAUACAUGCAAGUCGAGCGAACAGACGAGGAGCUUGCUCCUCUGACGUUAGCGGCGGACGGGUGAGUAACACGUGUAUAACCUACCUAUAAGACUGGGAUAACUUCGGGAAACCGGAGCUAAUACCGGAUAAUAUAUUGAACCGCAUGGUUCAAUAGUGAAAGACGGUUUUGCUGUCACUUAUAGAUGGAUCCGCGCCGCAUUAGCUAGUUGGUAAGUUAACGGCUUACCAAGGCAACGAUGCGUAGCCGACCUGAGAGGGUGAUCGGCCACACUGGAACUGAGACACGGUCCAGACUCCUACGGGAGGCAGCAGUAGGGAAUCUUCCGCAAUGGGCGAAAGCUUGACGGAGCAACGCCGCGUGAGUGAUGAAGGUCUUCGGAUCGUAAAACUCUGUUAUUAGGGAAGAACAAAUGUGUAAGUAACUAUGCACGUCUUGACGGUACCUAAUCAGAAAGCCACGGCUAACUACGUG